CACGAAUAGCUCGUAGAGGCAGGACAAGGACAGACUCCAUUUUUGCAAUAGGCAGUGCAGGUCCCCGGAUGAAAGCCUAACUGUGCUUCCCUCUUUAUUUUGCCCAAUUAGGAUCCUGACUUGGCGCUUUGAAUAUUUACUCCACAGUGAAGUCUUGAUGGGCGACCCCCCACCCCCCACCGUCCACCCCGUGCCAUGGGUGAAUUUUAUAAACCUGUAUGCUAAGCAAAGCCCCUGGACUGAACCCUAAAUGAACGAAUGAUGUUUUAUUUCACAAGGUGGCGGGGCGUGUAGAGCCUGAGGCAUAACCCACUUGGCUCCGGAAAACCGCCAUCUGCGAGGGAACAAACAGCGUGUCCCCGGAGGCUGGGUGGCCCUGCCAGGGCAGGGGACGUCACGAAGGAAAACGACACAGCGGGGCCGGGGACACGCAGAAGACUGAUGAGAAGCACUGAGGUUCUGUUCGUCACUCACGAUCCACUUAAAGGCAGUCACGGAGGUGGUGCUCCUCACACCCACCCUCUGCGGGGCUUUGAAGCAGCGGAGUUGAAAAGGAAACUGGUAAUGGUUUCCCUCUGCCUGACACAGCUCCUCGUGAAUGGAGUGGGCCCGGCCUCUGCUGGAGACCCGUGAAAGGGGACCUGACAGAGGUGGCACAGCUGGAACAGAGGAGGCAAAGAGAGAUGGAGCUGCCUGGUCCUGCCUGGUCUCAGCCCCACAGGGAUGGGAUAGAGGACUGAGGAGAGGCUGCGAGGGACCACGGUGGCCCGUGGGUCUCCGCGAGGUUGCCCUGCCUGAAGUAAAUGAGGCCACAGAAAGGAACCCGAAAGGACUGUGACAAUGCUGACCAGGUAAGUUAGUCCUCUCCAGGGCUGGCAAUGAUCAGGGAGGAAAGCCCUAAAUGGAAAAGCCUCACUCUUUCCCAGGGCCUUGGGGGAAGGACCAGCUCUGCUCCCCACUCCAUAAUCACAGGCAGAACGUGGUGACCACGGAGUGUCCUCCCCUGU